rnacentral:lncRNA from 1 species
GUGCCCGCGACUUGCCGCGGGCACUCCGAGGCCCCUCGCAAAGUCUCGCCCCAAUCCAAGUCCGGCGGACGAACUUCGCCCGCGCCCCCCACCAAGGCUAUAGCCCACCCGUUUUUUGGCCAUUUUUCCGCUGGGGGGUUUUGUCACCACGACCUUCAGGCGCUUAUUUUUGGGCGCGGCUAUGCCCGCGACUUCCCGCGGGCACCCCGAGGCCCCUCGCAAAGUCUCCCCCCAUUCCGAGUCCGGCGGACGAACUUCGCCCGCGCCCCCCACCAAAGCUAUAGCCCACCCGUUUUUUGGCCAUUUUUCCGCUGGGAGGUUUUGGCACCACGACCUUUGGGCGCUUAUUUCUGGAUGCGGCUGUGCCCGCGACUUCCCACGGGCACCCCGAGGCCCCUCGCAAAGUCUCGCCCCAUUCCGAGUCCGGCGGACGAACUUCGCCCGCGCCCCCCACCAAGGCUAUAGCCCACCCGUUUUUUGGCCAUUUUUCCGCGGGGGGGUUUUGGCACCACGACUUUCGGGCACUUAUUUCUGGAUGCGGCUGUGCCCGCGACUUCCCACGGGCACCCCGAGGCCCCUCGCAAAGUCUCGCCCCAUUCCGAGUCCGGCGGACGAACUUCGCCCGCGCCCUCCACCAAGGCUAUAGCCCACCCGUUUUUUGGCCAUUUUUCCGCUGGGGGGUUUUGGCACCACGACCUUCGGGCACUUAUUUCUGGACGCGGCUGUGCCCGCGACUUGCCGCGGGCACUCCGAGGCCCCUCGCAAAGUCUCGCCCCAUUCCAAGUCCGGCGGACGAACUUCGCCCGCGCCCCCCACCAAGGCUAUAGCCCACCCGUUUUUUGGCCAUUUUUCCGCUGGGGGGUUUUGUCACCACGACCUUCAGGCGCUUAUUUUUGGGCGCGGCUAUGCCCGCGACUUCCCGCGGGCACCCCGAGGCCCCUCGCAAAGUCUCCCCCCAUUCCGAGUCCGGCGGACGAACUUCGCCCGCGCCCCCCACCAAGGCUAUAGCCCACCCGUUUUUUGGCCAUUUUUCCGCUGGGGGGUUUUGGCACCACGACCUUCGGGCGCUUAUUUUUGGGCGCGGCCUUGCCCGCGGCUAUUUUUGGCACCCCGAGGCCCCUCGCAAAGUCUCGCCCCAUUCCGAGUCCGGCGGAUGAACUUCGCCCGCGCCCCCCACCAAGGCUAUAGCCCACCCGUUUUUUGGCCAUUUUUCCGCUGGGGGGUUUUGGCACCACGACCUUCGGGCGCUUAUUUUUGGGCGCGGCUUUGCCCGUGGCUUAUUUUUGGUGCCCCGAGGCCCCUCGCAAAGUCUCGUCCCAUUCCGAGUCCGGCAGACGAACUUCGCCCGCGCCCCCCGCCAAGGCUAUAGCCCACCCGUUUUUUGGCCAUUUUUCCGCUGGGGGGUUUUGGCACCACGACCUUCGGGCGCUUAUUUUUGGGCGCGGCUUUGCCCGUGGCUUAUUUUUGGUGCCCCGAGGCCCCUCGCAAAGUCUCGUCCCAUUCCGAGUCCGGCAGACGAACUUCGCCCGCGCCCCCCGCCAAGGCUAUAGCCCACCCGUUUUUUGGCCAUUUUUCCGCUGGGGGGUUUUGGCACCACGACCUUUGGGCGCUUAUUUUUGGGCGCGGCUUUGCCCGCGGCUUAUUUUUGGUACCCCGAGGCCCCUCGCAAAGUCUCGCCCCAUUCCGAGUCCGGCGGACGAACUUCGCCCGCGCCCCCCACCAAGGCUAUAGCCCACCCGUUUUUUGGCCAUUUUUCCGCUGGGGAGAUUUGGAACCACGACCUUCGGGCGCUUAUUUCUGGACGCGGCUGUGGCCGCGACUUCCCGCGGGCACCCCGAGGCCCCUCGCAAAGUCUCGCCCCAUUCCGAGUCCGGCGGACGAACUUCGCCCGCGCCCCCCACCAAGGCUAUAGCCCACCCGUUUUUUGGCCAUUUUUCCGCUGGGGGGUUUUGGCACCACGACCUUCGGGCGCUUAUUUCUGGACGCGGCUGUGCCCGCGACUUCCCGUGGGCACCCCGAGGCCCCUCGCAAAGUCUCGCCCCAUUCCGAGUCCGGCGGACGAACUUCGCCCGCGCCCCCCACCAAGGCUAUAGCCCACCCGUUUUUUGGCCAUUUUUCCGCUGGGGGGUUUUGGCACCACGACCUUCGGGCGCUUAUUUCUGGACGCGGCUGUGCCCGCGACUUCCCGCGGGCACCCCGAGGCCCCUCGCAAAGUCUCGGCCCAUUCCAAGUCCGGCGGACGAACUUUGCCCGCGCCCCCCACCAAGGCUAUAGCCCACCCGUUUUUUGGCCAUUUUUCCGCUGGGGGGGUUUGGCCCCACGACCUUUCCAGCGCUUAUUUUUGGGCGGCGGCUGGGCCCCCGACUUCCCGCGGGCACCCCGAGGCCCCUCGCAAAGUCUCGCCCCAUUUCCGAGUCCGGCGGACGAAUUUCGCCCGCGCCCCCCUCCAAGGCUAUAGCCCACCCGUUUUUUGGCCAUUUUUCCGCUGGGGGGUUUUGGCACCACGACCUUUGGGCGCUUAUUUUUGGGCGCGGCUUUGCCCGCGGCUUAUUUUUGGCACCCCGAGACCCCUCGCAAAGUCUCGCCCCAUUCCGAGUCCGGCGGACGAACUUCGCCCGCGCCCCCCACCAAGGCUAUAGCCCACCCGUUUUUUGGCCAUUUUUCCGCUGGGGGGUUUUGGCACCACGACCUUCGGGCGCUUAUUUUUGGGCGCGGCUUUUUCCACGGCUUAUUUUUGGCGCCCCGACGCCCCGUGCAAAGUCUCGCCCCAUUCCGAGUCCGGCGGACGAACUUCGCCCGCGACCCCUCCAAGACUAUAGCCCACCCGUUUUUUGGCCAUUUUUAACGCUGGGGGGUUUUGGCACCACGACCUUCGGGCGCUUAUUUUUGGGCGCGGCUUUGCCCGCGGCUUAUUUUUGGCGCCCCGACACCCCGCGCAAAGUCUCGCCCCAUUCCGAGUCCGGCGGACGUACUUCGCCCGCGCCCCCCACCAAGGCUAUAGCCCACCCGUUUUUUGGCCAUUUUUCCACUGGGGGGUUUUGGCACCACGACCUUCGGGCGCUUAUUUCUGGACGCGGCUGUGCCCGCGACUUCCCGCGGGCACCCCGAGGCCCCUCGCAAAGUCUCGCCCCAUUCCGAGUCCGGCGGACGAACUUCGCCCGCGCCCCCCACCAAGGCUAUAGCCCACCCGUUUUUUGGCCAUUUUUGGGCUGGGGGGUUUUGGCACCACGACCUUUGGGCGCUUAUUUUUGGGCGCGGCUUUGCCCGCGGCUUAUUUUUGGCACCCCGAGGCCCCUCGCAAAGUCUCGCCCCAUUCCGAGUCCGGCGGACGAACUUCGCCCGCGCCCCCCACCAAGGCUAUAGCCCACCCGUUUUUUGGCCAUUUUUCCGCUGGGGGGUUUUGGCACCACGACCUUCGGGCGCUUAUUUUUGGGCGCGGCUUUGCCCGCGGCUUAUUUUUGGCACCCCGAGGCCCCUCGCAAAGUCUCGCCCCAUUCCGAGUCCGGCGGACAAACUUCGCCCGCGCCCCCCACCAAGGCUAUAGCCCACCCGUUUUUUGGCCAUUUUUCCGCUGGGGGGUUUUGGCACCACGACCUUCAGGCGCUUAUUUCUGGAUGCGGCUGUGCCCGCGACUUCCCGCGGGCACCCCGAGGCCCCUCGCAAAGUCUCGCCCCAUUCCGAGUCCGGCGGUCGAACUUCGCCCGCGCCCCCCACCAAGGCUAUAGCCCACCCGUUUUUUGGCCAUUUUUCCGCUGGGGGGUUUUGUCACCACGACCUUCAGGCGCUUAUUUUUGGGCGCGGCUAUGCCCGCGACUUCCCGCGGGCACCCCGAGGCCCCUCGCAAAGUCUCCCCCCAUUCCGAGUCCGGCGGACGAACUUCGCCCGCGCCCCCCACCAAGGCUAUAGCCCACCCGUUUUUUGGCCAUUUUUCCGCUGGGGGGUUUUGGCACCACGACCUUCGGGCGCUUAUUUUUGGGCGCGGCCUUGCCCGCGGCUAUUUUUGGCACCCCGAGGCCCCUCGCAAAGUCUCGCCCCAUUCCGAGUCCGGCGGAUGAACUUCGCCCGCGCCCCCCACCAAGGCUAUAGCCCACCCGUUUUUUGGCCAUUUUUCCGCUGGGGGGUUUUGGCACCACGACCUUCGGGCGCUUAUUUUUGGGCGCGGCUUUGCCCGUGGCUUAUUUUUGGUGCCCCGAGGCCCCUCGCAAAGUCUCGUCCCAUUCCGAGUCCGGCAGACGAACUUCGCCCGCGCCCCCCGCCAAGGCUAUAGCCCACCCGUUUUUUGG